rnacentral:rRNA from 1 species
GACGAAGGACCCGAGCGUUAUCCGGAUUCAUUGGGUUUAAAGGGUGCGUAGGCGGACUGAUAAGUCAGUGGUGAAAGCCUGUUGCUUAACAACAGAACUGCCAUUGAUACUGCCAGUCUUGAAUAUGUUUGAUGUGGGCGGAAUAUGACAUGUGGCGGUGAAAUGCUUAGAUAUGUCAUAGAACACCGAUUGCGAAGGCAGCUCACAAAGCCAUUAUUGACGCUGAGGCACGAAAGCGUGGGGAUCAAAC